rnacentral:misc_RNA from 1 species
CUAAGGAGCACUUCUCCACGGACACCCGAGGAGUCGGGAUGGUAAACGUCUUGUGGCAGAGACCGUUUCGGAAGCAGUCGUCUUCCGGCGGGAGCUCAUGGGUGGAACGCUGGCAUGUGCCUCGUGUAUCGGUUGGUCCUGUGUGGCCGGCUGGCGGGGAUGUAGUCGACACACUGUUGGGUCCUGAGAGAACACGCGAGUGACUCUCUAGGCGAAUACAUGAUCCGGAGGGGUCUCCUGUGAUACCGCUGGCUGUCGGUCGGUUGGUCCAGGGUUGAGGUUUCUUCGGGUGUGUUGUUUGAGAACUGCACAGUGGACGCGAGCAUCUUUGUUUGUAAGUGUUUAAGAGCGUUC